UACGUAGGGGGCAAGCGUUGUCCGGAAUCAUUGGGCGUAAAGAGCGUGUAGGCGGCCCGGUAAGUCCGCUGUGAAAGUCCAGGGCUCAACCCUGGGAUGCCGGUGGAUACUGUCGGGCUCGAGUCCGGAAGAGGAGUGUGGAAUUCCUGGUGGUAGCGGUGAAAUGCGCAGAUAAUCAGGAAGAACACCCGUGGCGAAGGCGGCUCUCUGGGACGGUACUGACGCUGAGACGCGAAAGCGUGGGGAGCGAACAGG
rnacentral:rRNA from 1 species